UCCUUAGACCUGUGCAAUAUAUCCAAAAGCAACGCUUCAGGGUGGGAACACAGCAGAGCACUUUUGUUUUGUAUGUGCCGCAGAUAUCUUGGGAAAG
rnacentral:SRP_RNA from 1 species